AUGAAGGGCUUUUUCCUGCACUCUCUGUCUCUCUGGCUAGACAGCCACGGACUCCCUCCUUUCUUUCAGAUCUACCACACACAUGGCCCCAUGCUCUCCACGGUGGCUCUCUCUCCCACUCCACAGCCGUAUCAUGCUGUCUCUGGUGGUGACACCGGCCCUUCUUAUGCUCUUCCACCGCAGCACCUGUGAGAACGGCAGCUGCUGUGACUUCCAGGAGAAACGCACGGAACAGUGACAUCCUAACAAGGUUUCCUCUUCUGGGAGAAGGAAAAGACUGAAGCCUGGUGACAGCCAGAAGAGGAACUUGCCUCCCAGGAAGACACUUCACACAGUUCUGAAAACGUUUCAGAUCACCUUAUAGCCCAGACAACGGUGGUAGGCACCCUACGCUGACCAGAAGCCUGAGUCUCAUGUUAGGACCCAAAGGGUGG
rnacentral:lncRNA from 1 species